GAACGGGUGAGUAAUGCAUCGGAACGUACCCUGGAGUGGGGAUAACUAUCCGAAAGGAUAGCUAAUACCGCAUAUUCUAUGAGUAGGAAAGCGGGGGACCUUCGGACCUCGCGCUCUGGGAGCGGCCGAUGNNNGANUAGCUAGUUGGUGGGGUAAGGGCCUACCAAGGCUACGAUCUGUAGCGGGUCUGAGAGGAUGAUCCGCCACACUGGGACUGAGACACGGCCCAGACUCCUACGGGAGGCGGCAGUGGGGAAUUUUGGACAAUGGGGGCAACCCUGAUCCAGCCAUGCCGCGUGAGUGAAGAAGGCCUNNGGGUUGUAAAGCUCUUUCGGCCGGGAAGAAAUCGCCAUCUCUAAUAUAGGUGGUGGAUGACGGUACCGGAAUAAGAAGCACCGGCUAACUACGUGCCAGCAGCCGCGGUAAUACGUAGGGCGCGAGCGUUAAUCGGAAUUACUGGGCGUAAAGCGUGCGCAGGCGGUUUUUUAAGAUAGGCGUGAAAUCCCCGGGCUUAACCUGGGAACUGCGCUUAUGACUGGAAGGCUAGAGUACGGCAGAGGGGGGUGGAAUUCCACGUGUAGCAGUGAAAUGCGUAGAGAUGUGGAGGAACACCGAUGGCGAAGGCAGCCCCCUGGGCCGAUACUGACGCUCAUGCACGAAAGCGUGGGGAGCAAACA
rnacentral:rRNA from 1 species